CUCUGGGAAUCAUGACGAUUUAAUCAAAUCCGACCGGAUUCGCUAUCAUUAUGUCAUCUUUGCGAUAAAACACUUACAUUGGCACGCGUUUUCGCCCCAGCAGGAGUUGCUUUCCCCACCGGAAGCUCAAACAGUGGCUCGCAUAUCUGAUGACUUCACAAUCGCAGGUACUUAGAUUCACGUGAUCUCCAUGUAAACAUCGAUAUUAAAAUUGACAAGCUCCCGUUUUUCGAGAGGUGAAAAUGUUUGUCAAAAUUUCCCUACAAAAUUAUCAGUAUCCCUUCAUCAAACAUAAAAAAGAAUGGUUUUGGUGGUGUUUAAAUAAUGUACUUAUUUAAGUUUUUCCGCAAUUUUUGCCGUGUGGGACAAAGCAAAGUACAAUUUUUACCCAGCUUGUAUCGUUGGUGGUUAUAACAAGACUAAGAAAACCGUCCCGGUUUAUUUUUUCCAUAACGAAGAUGAGAAGGACGUACGUGUGGACGAUAUUAUCUACCAUCACAGUAACUUGAUGAUGGUUAAAGCUAGUUUUUAUCGACGAGGAAAGACGUAUUGUGGAACAGUUUAUGGUAACGAUUCGCCCAAACAUGAAGGUGAAGUGAGAACUUUUUUCAUUCGUUUGUCCCAAAAUGACUUGGUGUCUGUCCCCGUGAAGUACGUUUUUCUCACAAAACAACAAGCCCAAAAGUUACUGAAAAUCCGAAUUCGCAAAAAAAAUAAAAACUGCUAAAUCUCCAAA